rnacentral:rRNA from 1 species
CAGCGGAGGGAUCAUUACUGAGUUUACGCUCUAUAACCCUUUGUGAACAUACCUAUAACUGUUGCUUCGGCGGGUAGGGUCUCCGUGACCCUCCCGGCCUCCCGCCCCCGGGCGGGUCGGCGCCCGCCGGAGGAUAACCAAACUCUGAUUUAACGACGUUUCUUCUGAGUGGUACAAGCAAAUAAUCAAAACUUUUAACAACGGAUCUCUUGGUUCUGGCAUCGAUGAAGAACGCAGCGAAAUGCGAUAAGUAAUGUGAAUUGCAGAAUUCAGUGAAUCAUCGAAUCUUUGAACGCACAUUGCGCCCGCCAGCAUUCUGGCGGGCAUGCCUGUUCGAGCGUCAUUUCAACCCUCAAGCUCUGCUUGGUGUUGGGGCCCUACAGCUGAUGUAGGCCCUCAAAGGUAGUGGCGGACCCUCCCGGAGCCUCCUUUGCGUAGUAACUUUACGUCUCGCACUGGGAUCCGGAGGGACUCUUGCCGUAAAACCCCCAAUUUUCCAAAGGUUGACCUCGGAUCAGGUAGGAAUACCCGCUGAACUUAAGCAUAUCAAUA